UCGAGCGAAGCGAGAGAACGUUGCGCCAGCAACGGCCCGCAGGGCGAGCCACGAAGUGGCGAGUAAUCCUCUAUCACCGACCA
rnacentral:sRNA from 1 species